rnacentral:rRNA from 1 species
AUGGCCGGAAGGAAGGGCGGCGAGAGGAAGAAGGCGGUGACCCGCUCCGUGAAGGCCGGGCUCCAGUUCCCCGUCGGCCGCAUCGGGCGCUACCUCAAGAAGGGCCGCUACGCGCAGCGCGUCGGCUCCGGCGCCCCCGUCUACCUCGCCGCCGUCCUCGAGUACCUCGCCGCCGAGGUCCUGGAGCUGGCCGGCAACGCGGCCAAAGACAACAAGAAGACGCGCAUCAUCCCGCGCCACCUGCUGCUGGCCGUCCGCAACGACCAGGAGCUGGGCAGGCUGCUCGCCGGCGUCACCAUCGCGCACGGCGGCGUCAUCCCCAACAUCAACUCCGUGCUGCUCCCCAAGAAGUCCCCCGCCGCCGCCGAGAAGGAGGCCAAGUCGCCCAAGAAGAAGGCCGCCACCAAGUCCCCCAAGAAGAAGGCCGCAGCCACCAAGGAGUAG